GGCAGCCGAUCAGCAGCAGGAUCAAUGGCAGCAUGCUGACCCCGGUAUCUGGAAGCGGGGACAAAUUAACGUCGAGCGACAGAAAGACGUCGGCAGCUUCUGGGGCAUUCCUCAGCGGCUCCGUCCGGGAGGAACAAAUAUGAUUCCCGAGGAUUGCGGAUUGAAAGAUCAAAUCAAAGAUCAAAUCAAAGAUCAACCGCGUCAGGUGAGAGUCUUGGCUGAUUUGUUCUCAGCAUCUGCAUGGUCGAGUCCUCUGAUCUAAUUUCCUAAUUUUCUGUCUGUGAGACACGUUGUAAAAUUCAUUUCGACGCGAAUUCGGUGAGGUAACAGAAAUUCUGAUACGAACAUAGGUAUGUUAAAUGUACAUUUAUGGAACGUUGAUAAAUACAACCACAUUCAAAUUGCA